rnacentral:rRNA from 1 species
UUAUGUAAAGUCUAGCCUGCCCAGUGAUAAUUGAAUUUAACGGCCGCGGUAGCAUGACCGUGCUAAGGUAGCAUAAUCAUUUGUCCUUUAAUUGAGGACUGGUAUAAACGGCUGCACAAGAAAUUGUCUGUCUCUACUAUAAAAUUUGAAAUUCACAUUUAAGUGAAAAGGCUUAAAUGGAAUAGGGGGACGAUAAGACCCUAUAAAUCUUUACAAUUAGGGCUUUAGUUAUUAGAAAGUAGUUAUGGAUCUAAAUCUAAGGUUUAAAUUGUUUUGUUGGGGCGACAGAAGUAUAAUAAGUAACUGCUUUGGUUUUCAUAUUAAUUGUUUUUAUUAUGGUUAGUUUAAAAGAUCCUCUUUUGGAGAUCACAGACUAAGUUACUUUAGGGAUAACAGCGUAAUCUUUCUUGAGAGUUCAUAUCGAAAGAAGGGUUUGCGACCUCGAUGUUGAAUUAAAGAACCUUUAUGGUGUAGUCGCUAUAAGAGGA